AACGCACCUUGCGCUCCUUGGUAUUCCGAGGAGCAUGCCUGUUUGAGUGUCAUGGAAUUCUCAACUCUAUUUGCUUUUGUGAAUAGAGCUUGGACUUGGAGGUUUAUUGCCGGUACCUGUGAUCGGCUCCUCUUGAAUGCAUUAGCUCGAACCUUUUGUGGAUCAGCUUAUCGGUGUGAUAAGAUGUCUACGCCGUUACUGUGAAGCAUAUUAUUCGGCUUCCAAUCGUCCUUCACGGGACAAUAACUUUGACCUUUGACCUCAAAUCAGGUAGGAUUACCCGCUGAACUUAA
rnacentral:misc_RNA from 1 species